UGAGGGACAGAUCCUCAUCAGCAUGACAUCUCUUGCACCGCUUCUGCUGCUUCUGUUGUUCCUGGUCGCUGCUGCGUCUGCAGCAUCCAGCUACUACCGGUCCUAUGGUGGAUCAGUAGCCUUCACCUCAAAGGGACGGAACGCAGAUGGAACCAAUGAGGUAGAACUUCGACAAAGGAACACUCCAUAUUACUACCACCAUUCAUAUGUUGAUGGAACUUGCUGGAGAGGUAACUGUGGGACCCAGACACAGCGCUCUGUGGAAUCCGUCUCUUCUGGUUCUUAUGGUGUCACCUGGAGACAGUAUGAAGUGAGAACAAAUAGAAAACUGACCAGCAAUCUGUCCUUUGACAUG